CUUGUUUAGCCGCUGACAGACAUACAAGUAACACUGCAAACGAGGUCCUUGGUUAAUUACGAACCGCCAGCUAGUCUGAUAAUUGUGUUUUUGCCAGAGGACUCAAACGUUGCCUAACUCUCUGGCUUGCAAACGUCAUUUCAAGACUGAUAUAGCUAGUCUUGCAACAAGCAAGCAGCAAUAUAAAAGUAGCAUAACUAGCUAGGUCAACAGACCACGGCAUUAUUAAAGAUGAAUGGCAUAUGUAUGAAGAUAGAGGUUCGCUAGCCCGGGGUAGGGCAGGGGACUGGGGGCUGUGGGAGACCUAGUAUUUGUCUGUCCUGCCUAUUCCUUCGUGCUGCUGACAGUAAACGAGAGAGGUGCCCACUGAAUACUUGCUUCACCAGGGGGAUUGGCCUAUGCACAAGUUGGAGUGUACAGCCAUGUGUUCCUAUGGGGAGAACUGAUGUCCCUCAGAGACCGUCAGACUGGUGGCCAGGAUCAUCAUGAAACAGGUCAGUCGUUGUGUGUGUGUGUGUGUGUGUGUGUGUGUGUGUGUGUGUGUGUGUGUGUGUGUGUGUGUGUGUGUGUGUGUGUGUGUACAGUGCAUUUGGAAAGUAUUCAGACCCCUUGACUUUUUCCACAUUUUGUUACAAUGGAGUCCACUUGUGGUAAAUUCAAUUGAUUGGACAUGAUUUGGAAAGGCACACACCUGUCUAUAUAAGGUCCCACAGUUGACAGUGCAUGUCAGUGCAAAAACCAAGCCAUGAGGUCGAAGGAAUUGUCCUUAGAGCUCCGAGACAGGAUUGUGUCGAGGAACAGAUCUGGGGAAGGGUACCAAUAAAUUUCUGCAGCAUUGAAGGUCCCCAAGAACACAGUAG
rnacentral:lncRNA from 1 species